rnacentral:rRNA from 1 species
GCUUAACACAUGCAAGUCGAACGCCCUCUUCGGAGGGAGUGGCAGACGGGUGAGUAACACGUGGGAACCUACCUAGGGGUACGGAAUAACUCGGGGAAACUCGUGCUAAUACCGUAUACGACCCAAGGGUGAAAGAUUUAUCGCCCCUAGAUGGGCCCGCGCUGGAUUAGCUAGUUGGUGGGGUAAAAGCCUACCAAGGCGACGAUCCAUAGCUGGUCUGAGAGGAUGAUCAGCCACACUGGGACUGAGACACGGCCCAGACUCCUACGGGAGGCAGCAGUGGGGAAUCUUGGACAAUGGGGGAAACCCUGAUCCAGCCAUGCCGCGUGAGUGAUGAAGGCCUUAGGGUUGUAAAGCUCUUUCGCCAGGGAAGAUAAUGACGGUACCUGGAUAAGAAGCCCCGGCUAACUCCGUGCCAGCAGCCGCGGUAAUAC